rnacentral:rRNA from 1 species
UGUUUCGGCAAGGGGGUCAUCCCGACUUACCAACCCGAUGCAAACUGCGAAUACCGGAGAAUGUUAUCACGGGAGACACACGGCGGGUGCUAACGUCCGUCGUGAAGAGGGAAACAACCCAGACCGCCAGCUAAGGUCCCAAAGUCAUGGUUAAGUGGGAAACGAUGUGGGAAGGCCCAGACAGCCAGGAUGUUGGCUUAGAAGCAGCCAUCAUUUAAAGAAAGCGUAAUAGCUCACUGGUCGAGUCGGCCUGCGCGGAAGAUGUAACGGGGCUAAACCAUGCACCGAAGCUGCGGCAGCGACGCUUAUGCGUUGUUGGGUAGGGGAGCGUUCUGUAAGCCUGUGAAGGUGUGCUGUGAGGCAUGCUGGAGGUAUCAGAAGUGCGAAUGCUGACAUAAGUAACGAUAAAGCGGGUGAAAAGCCCGCUCGCCGGAAGACCAAGGGUUCCUGUCCAACGUUAAUCGGGGCAGGGUGAGUCGACCCCUAAGGCGAGGCCGAAAGGCGUAGUCGAUGGGAAACAGGUUAAUAU